rnacentral:piRNA from 1 species
UGCUUUACAGAAGAAAGACUUGAAGUGA